CACGUCUGUCUUCUCUAUUGAUGGAGUAAUAGAAUCUGUCCAUCAGCUGAGAGACAAACUGGAAGAGUUUUGCAAAGAGGAGCUCAAGAAGAUCUCAAACAGAGUCAUAUUUGGCAAUGUUGUUUGCAGGACCAGGAAACACUUCCUACAAUAUUCCCAUCAGCUCACUUUGGAUUCAAACACAAUAAAUAAAUAUCUCCGUCUGUCUGAGAGGAACAGAGUAAUUUCUGGUACUCUCACAGAGCAGAAGUAUCCUGAUCAUCCAGACAGAUUUGAUGGAUAUAAUCUUCAGGUGUUGUGUAGAGAGAGAGUGUGUGUGGACGCUGUUACUGGGAGAUUUGAGUGGAGUGGGAUGUUUGGUGUGGACAUAUCAGUGUCAUAUAAGAGCAUCAGCAGGAAGGGAUGGGGUGAUGAGUGUUGGUUUGGAUAUAAUGAUCAGUCCUGGAGUUUGUUCUGCUCUCCUGACAGUUACUCAUUCAGACACAAUAACAUAAAGACUGUUCUUCCUGU